GACGAACGCUGGCGGCGUGCCUAACACAUGCAAGUCGAACGAUGAAGCCUAGCUUGCUAGGUGGAUUAGUGGCGAACGGGUGAGUAAUACGUGAGUAACCUACCUUUAACUCUGGGAUAAGCCUGGGAAACUGGGUCUAAUACCGGAUACGACCAAUCUCCGCAUGGGGUGUUGGUGGAAAGCGUUAUGUAGUGGUUAUAGAUGGGCUCACGGCCUAUCAGCUUGUUGGUGAGGUAACGGCUCACCAAGGCGACGACGGGUAGCCGGCCUGAGAGGGUGACCGGCCACACUGGGACUGAGACACGGCCCAGACUCCUACGGGAGGCAGCAGUGGGGAAUAUUGCACAAUGGGCGCAAGCCUGAUGCAGCGACGCCGCGUGAGGGAUGACGGCCUUCGGGUUGUAAACCUCUGUUAGCAGGGAAGAAGAGAGAUUGACGGUACCUGCAGAGAAAGCGCCGGCUAACUACGUGCCAGCAGCCGCGGUAAUACGUAGGGCGCGAGCGUUGUCCGGAAUUAUUGGGCGUAAAGAGCUUGUAGGCGGUUUGUCGCGUCUGCUGUGAAGGCCGGGGCUUAACUCCGUGUAUUGCAGUGGGUACGGGCAGACUAGAGUGCAGUAGGGGAGACUGGAAUUCCUGGUGUAGCGGUGGAAUGCGCAGAUAUCAGGAGGAACACCGAUGGCGAAGGCAGGUCUCUGGGCUGUAACUGACGCUGAGAAGCGAAAGCAUGGGGAGCGAACAGGAUUAGAUACCCUGGUAGUCCAUGCCGUAAACGUUGGGCACUAGGUGUGGGGGACAUUCCACGUUUUCCGCGCCGUAGCUAACGCAUUAAGUGCCCCGCCUGGGGAGUACGGCCGCAAGGCUAAGACUCAAAGAAAUUGACGGGGGCCCGCACAAGCGGCGGAGCACGCGGAUUAAUUCGAUGCAACGCGAAGAACCUUACCAAGGCUUGACAUAUACUGGACCGCAUCAGAGAUGGUGUUUCCCUUCGGGGCUGGUAUACAGGUGGUGCAUGGUUGUCGUCAGCUCGUGUCGUGAGAUGUUGGGUUAAGUCCCGCAACGAGCGCAACCCUCGUUCUAUGUUGCCAGCACGUUAUGGUGGGGACUCAUAGGAGACUGCCGGGGUCAACUCGGAGGAAGGUGGGGAUGACGUCAAAUCAUCAUGCCCCUUAUGUCUUGGGCUUCACGCAUGCUACAAUGGCCGGUACAGAGGGUUGCGAUACUGUGAGGUGGAGCUAAUCCCUAAAAGCCGGUCUCAGUUCGGAUUGGGGUCUGCAACUCGACCCCAUGAAGUCGGAGUCGCUAGUAAUCGCAGAUCAGCAACGCUGCGGUGAAUACGUUCCCGGGCCU
rnacentral:rRNA from 1 species